rnacentral:rRNA from 1 species
GGGAGGUCGGCGACGACCACCCAGGGCCGGAAAGUUGGUCAAACUCGGUCAUUUAGAGGAAGUAAAAGUCGUAACAAGGUCUCCGUAGGUGAACCUGCGGAGGGAUCAUU